CAACCCACUAGGGUUGCUGUAAUAAUAAUACAAGGAUAAUAAGUGUUGGCAAGGAUGUGGAGAAAUUGGAAUCCUCAUCAUUCUUGU
rnacentral:miRNA from 1 species